UCGCAUUCAGCAGAAGAUGACUAAACUGGCCUGGCGGUGGUGGUGAGAGGCUGGAGUGAACCUGAGGAGGGAAUGCAAGUAACUGCAUCAGCAACAGAGCAAAGGGAAUGUGGUCCCCUCAAAUGGACGCCUUUCACGACAGCUUCCUCUCUACCCGACUCCGGAUGGAGGUGGUCGCAGUCACCCAUCCUGGCUCACGUCUAGUUUCUUUCCUGCUUUGAGUGUCCUUAUGCCAGAUCUGAACUAAGGGCAGGGAGUAUCACUUUCUUGGACUAGCAACUAAGAAGACCACCGUUCUGG